rnacentral:lncRNA from 1 species
UCCGGUUCUACACAGAGUGCUCCCGGGCCAAGCCGACGCAACCUCUUCCGGUCCUCCACAGCCCUGGGGACACGCCGAGAGGGAUAAGUCUCCAAACUCAGCCAAAAUGAGGACUGCGACAGGGCGCACUACACCAAUCACAGUAAUUAGUGUCUUCCGAGGCUACCUGGCUGGAGAAGUAAGUAGAGCAUGGAGCUGAAGUGUAUCUGUGUGUGUGUGUCUCUGUGUGUGUGUGUGUGUGUAUGUGUGUGUGUGUGUCUCUGUGUGUGUGAGUGUGUGUGUGUAUAUCUAUGUGUCUCUGUGUGUGUGUCCACGCGUGGACGCGCACCGGUGUUUUAGGGAUUUAGGGGAAACAGCAAGGCAACUUGACUGAACCACCAUCUGGGUCUUGAAGUCUCACAGACCAGGCCUGGGUUCAUCCGCACUCUGAACGCUUGCUGUCACACUAAACUGUCUGAGGCCCGGGAAUUGCGAGUGGGCCAGUUUACCAAGAAUGGAUGGUGUGGGGGCUGGGGAUUUAGCUCAGUGGUUAGAGUGCUUACCUAGGAAGCGCAAGGCCCUGGGUUCGGUCCCCAGCUCCGAAAAAAAAACCAAAAAAAAAAAAAAAAAAAGAAUGGAUGGUGUGGCAUCCCGUUUUGGCGAUCCAGCUACAGAUCCUCGGCGAUUCCUCAGGUCUACGGGACGACCAGUUUGUACGGAACCAAUUCUCGCGCGGUCCUGUUUUCACAAGUUCUGUGGGCCUCGCCUCACGUGGUGUGUCGGGGAGAACAGCGUGGGACUCGGAGUGGGCGCCUCAAUCUUUCCUAGAACCUGCAGGGGGAAGUGGUGGCGGUGGUGUAUCCCUAGACUCCCUGCGCGGCCGUGAACAGCAGUGCGGCCGCAUAGCAAACAGCGGAGAAGACCCGAGUAGCCCCCCAAGCUCUGGUGCCCGGGGGAGUGGAGACGGCGCCGAAAGAGCCAAGGGCAAUGCCAGUAUGCCAGUAUGCCGGACGGUCCUGGCUGCUCUGGACUCCCCCAGGUUGUGAAGGCAGAGAAUAGGGCGGCCCGAUGGUGGAGAGAGCGGCCAUUGUGGAGAAGCUACCAAGUGGUCCGGAGCAGGAGGAGGAAGGCGAGGAAAGCCUGCGGUUUGACCUCAUGGUGCCUUUCCUGACCUUCGUGGAUGCAGAGACCUCGUGGUACCGGACCCGGGAUGAGGAGUCCCUGGAAGGAGCAGUUCACGGGUAGCUCGGAGUGGCUGGCAGGGACCUGGUGAUUCGAGUAACUGAGUAACUUCGAAAACUCCAGCCUCCUCCACAGCUCCGUCUCCUCCCUGCUCUGCCAGUCGGCUUUCUACAGUGGUGACUACCCUGAGGUUCUCCGUGCCUGAGUCCUUCAAGCCUCCUGUGGAGUAGGGGGCUGGGGCUCGGCAGCGCUCUGGCCCUCACCCACUGUACCCUUCCCUAGGGCAAAAAACGCACAAUAGUUGCUUUGCCGGGGCAGGGAGGGUGGUGCUGGUGAUCUUUUCCCUGUGCUUGUCCUGGGAUGGCUCAAUGUUUCCCAACAUUGAAAAUAAAAUAAAGCUGAAACCGGUCUGUGUCUGUGCCUGUGCCUGUGACUCUGACUCUCUGUGCCUGUGACUCUGACUCUCUGUGCCUGUGCCUGUGCCUGUGCCUGUGACUCUGACUCUGACUCUGACUGUGCCUGUGACUCUGACUGUGCCUGUGCCCCUGCCCGUGACCGUGUCUGUGCCUGUGCCUGUGCCUGUGUCUCUGUCCAGCUAUCUCAUUCUCAUCUUCAUCCCUGUGUAGCAGGAGAGUAGGACAGCAUCUGGGAUUCAGAUGCUCAAGUACUGCACGAUGAUUACAGGUGGUUCAGGAAAGGUAAAAAUCAGUCAGGUCCUGUCAGUCAGUGUUAACUAC